rnacentral:rRNA from 1 species
GAUGAACGCUGGCGGCGUGCCUAAUACAUGCAAGUCGAGCGAACGGAUGAGAAGCUUGCUUCUCUGAUGUUAGCGGCGGACGGGUGAGUAACACGUGGAUAACCUACCUAUAAGACUGGGAUAACUUCGGGAAACCGGAGCUAAUACCGGAUAAUAUUUUGAACCGCAUGGUUCAAAAGUGAAAGACGGUCUUGCUGUCACUUAUAGAUGGAUCCGCGCUGCAUUAGCUAGUUGGUAAGGUAACGGCUUACCAAGGCAACGAUGCAUAGCCGACCUGAGAGGGUGAUCGGCCACACUGGAACUGAGGCACGGUCCAGACUCCUACGGGAGGCAGCAGUAGGGAAUCUUCCGCAAUGGGCGAAAGCCUGACGGAGCAACGCCGCGUGAGUGAUGAAGGUCUUCGGAUCGUAAAACUCUGUUAUUAGGGAAGAACAUAUGUGUAAGUAACUGUGCACAUCUUGACGGUACCUAAUCAGAAAGCCACGGCUAACUACGUG